CACAAAAAGGUUGCCACCACUCAAGUCCCUUCUGAGAUCCUGUCUUGAAAGCUCAUUAACACCUUUGUUAUUGACUGCCACCAGCUCAGGUAUUGUUUAAACAGCAAGACAGAAGAAAAAUAACCAAGAGGGCUCCAUGGCAAGACUACAGCAUCACUGCAUGGGUAUUGAGGAGCUUCUGAGAUAUAAGAAUCCUGUGAGCAGCCACAAAACUGACAAGAAUCAAGUCAGUUUCACUCUACUCCUACUUAGGAAAGCUGGAAGCAGAAGCAGAAGACAUUGUAAUUGCUCGCUGAGGAGGAACAACCAAAAGAAAGACUAGCUAGAAGGGUUUAGAAAGGUAGUAAAAAUAUCCUCAGAGCACCCAGAAAACCAAAGGAGAGUAAUGUCGAUAUCCCCCAAAUAUGACAGCCAGGAGGCUGGCAGAGGGGCAAAGUAACAAAGACACACACAGCAUCCUCAUAAAAGCCAAAAGACAGGAAGUGGAGAAAAAUGCUGCUUUGUAGCUGUAAGUGGGGUGCUGGGGAGCUUCAGUUUCAGACACCUCCUAAGCAAAGCCUGAUACAACAGGGAAGGAAAAGGUUUGGCAUCUCUUCCAGAUCCCUAAACAGUUUCUACCUACUACCCCCUCUAGCUUUCAUAUAGAUCUGUGAUUAGUAAUUUUUUCCCUCCAGCAAUGGGUAUCAAAACUGUUGCAACCCAUGCCUCAAUAAAAGCAAGUGAGAUACUGAUGGAAUUAAUUAGAAAAUGUAAGUACAACAGAGAGAAAUGAGGAGGCAGAAGAAAGAAAUGGGAGAUGAAAAUAUGUAGUGUAGCAGGGGAAGAGAGUAUGCCAAACUGAUCCCUAGGCUUCCUCAUAUGGAGUAUCCCAAGAAUGAAAGCCUGCUAGUCUGGGUGAAAAACUGCCUGUGCUGCCACACACCCUCAAAUCCAUAAUUCUGAAAUGUAUAGUAUUUAGAGUGUUAUGUAUUGCAUUUAUUAUUUUUUCUUUGAAAAGUGCAAUUACUAAGGCUGGUUGAAUAGCAGAAAAAUUUUGACUAUAUACAUGAAUUAAUCAAAUAUUUUAUAUAUUAUUAAUUUAACUGGUAUUUAGCAAAUAUUCACUAAAUUAUAUUGAACCAACAAAAGAACUGGACAAAUAAAACAGAUUACUCAGAUAAAGAAAAAAAAGUGAAGUGAAGCCAAGAAGAGGAAAGAAGAUAUAACAAGAGCACAAGAUGCAUUAGUAGCUUAUUUGAUUAAUGUAUUUAAUGAAUUUCACAGGUGAUAAACAAGAUAUUAACCUUUUUUUUCUUCCUAUUAGGCCAUUCCAAGUAGUAAGUUAACACAUUUUAAAAACGUGUAAGUAAGACGAUGACGCGAAAUGCAGAGCACAACUUUUUCAUUCCAUUAAAUUGGAGGAGUGUAAUCUGUUUGUGGCAGCACAAACAUUUUUCACUCAUGUUAGCAGGCUUAGUCCCUGGGCUAAAUGUCAGGUAAAGAAUUGGUCUUCAUUUUAAGAAAAACCAAUAUGUGAAAACUGUACUAGAGAAGCAAUUUAACGAGCAAACAAAGCAUCUGAACUGAUGAUCAACAGUGAGAGCAGGGAACUGAACAGAACAUCUAUUUAAGGUGUUUUGCCGCAAUAUUAUCCUGUAUAGACCACUUAAAAGUAUUAGAAUAUUUGACAAUAAUUCAAACAGGACUUUGAUAAAUUUAAGACCUGUAUUAUGGUUUACAUAACAUUGUUUAUUUUUUCCCCACACAAAAAGACAGUGAAUUUACCCAUUUGCCAUCACUGGAUGUAUAUUUUGGAGGAUGUAGCUGUUUGGAGAAAAAUUUUACUUUGGAUUUCAAUGAAAAUUAUGAAGAACUCCUUACUAAGGGGAAAAACAUGUUCAUUUUAAAUUGGCCUGAUGUUACUUUAACUUGUCUUUCAUCAAUGGCCAGCAUGGAUAAAAAUCAAGGAUUUAAAAAAAAAAUCGGAUUUUUUUGAUAAAAUGCUUUUUGAGGAAAAAACCUAAAGAUAGUUUUAAUUAGGAUACAUUAUAGCUCAAAAAAAAAAUCUCAUCGUGGAAUAGGGAUUAUAAAUUCUAAUUCUAUAGUAUGAGACAAUACACUCAUGUAAUGUUUAAGAAAAGUUUUGUAAAUGAGUUCCAAUAGUUCAUGGAUUAGGGACCCAAUAUUAUGAGGUUCUAGGGGCUUCUGUGUAGAUUAUUUAGGUUAAUCUGUCUAUCUACCCAAUGGGACUCAGUGCUCAGUCAAGAAGAUACCAUCAGAGAUGCUUAGUUUUGCAGUUCUGGACAAGAAGAAGAAGUCUGGAGAUAAAUGUGAGAAGGGAGAGACAGGCAGUAGAAACAAAAGUGAAACUGUUUGAGCAGCAUAUUCCAGAAGUCUUGACAUCUUUCUGAGUGUAGCCUUCAUUGAUUUGAGAUCUACCAUACACUUCUCUCACUAGAAGGGAAAACCUAUAAUGGCAGCAGGCCAUAAAAUAGACUCAGUUUGGGAAUAUUUUAAUGAAGUUCCUCUGCCUGUGGGUAAGACAGGCAUACGUGCAAAAUGCAAACAGUGCAACAAAAUUCAAGGCUUGGCUGCCUGAAUGAAACAUCAUGAGAAGUGUUCCUUCUCAGGAAGAAACUGCAUUGAAAAUGAUGAAAGGAACAUGUCUGAACAUGCAGGAUCUUCAGAACCCACACGUCAUUAACAUGGUUCAGUCAUUAAGACCAGGAUACAGUCCACCCAACAGAGCAGAUGUCGCAGGAAAAUUGUUGGAUAAAGUGUAUGAAACAGAAAUUGAGCAGUGUGCAAAGGGUCUAGAGGAUGAAAUUGUUAACCUGAGUCUUGAUGGGUGGAGCAGUGUCCACAAUGAUCCUGUUGUAAGUGCUUGUGUGACAACAAGAAGGGAAUGUCUUCCCUAGAGAAACAAUUGAUACAUCAGGAAAUGCACACACAGCCAAAGAUCUCAACAUUGGGCUUAAGAGAAAUGUUGAACACAUGCUGAGUACCCUGAAGCCUAUUGCUGUAACCCUGAACAAAAUGCAGGGAAAUAGCUGUUUUAUUACUCAGGCUGUUGAAAUUUGGAAGGAACUGAGUGAGAUCUUAAAAAGAGAAACAUGCAAUGACAGAGUUAAAUUACAAACAUUAAAAAAACAAAUAGGACAAGCACUAUCUCCAGCUUAUUUUCUUGCAAAUAUUCUCAAUACUUGGUACCAUGGUCAAACCUUAACUGCUGAAGAAGAGCAGUUGGCUAUGACACAGACAUCUAGCAAUCAUCCCUCCAUAUGCCAACUAUAAUAAACUUCAGAGCUAAGGGUGAACCAUUCAAGAAUUAUAUCUUUGCUGAUGAUGUUUUAAAGAAAGCCACACCAGUGAACUGGUGGAAGUCACUUAAGCACUUGGAUUCAGAGACUGCUGAAGUGAUAAUCUCACUUUUAACAGCAGCAGCUUCUUCUGCCAGUGUAGAAAGAAUAUUCUCUUCCUUUGGACUAAUUCAUUCCAAAUUGAGAAAUCGUUUGGGACCUGAAAAAAAACAGGAAAGCUUGCUUUCCUUUUCCAGAUUAUGAACAAACAGGAAAAUGAAGGUGAAGACUGAGUUAGCUGCAGAAGCCAAUAUUUUAAGUUUCUCAUGUUGACCUGGCUGACAUAGUCUAUUUAAUUUUUUUUUUUUACUUUCAUUUAACUAUUUUAGUUAAAAACAAUUUUAACAAAAACAAACCUGAUUUUAAAAAACUUGAAUGUUUAACUAAAUUCAAAAAUUCAUAUGCUUCAUUUGUUAAAAUAUUAUACAUUUGCUGUUGAACAAAAAAAAUCCAGAAUACAUAACGUUGUUGUUUUAGUUAAAUAAAACAAUUUAAAUGUCUGUCUGGUGAUCUUCUCCUCUUAAUAGAGCAUGGCAAGAAAAUCCUCCAAAUAUUAAUUAUUAACCUGUUGAAUUGGAGAUAGUUCACCUCUCAGUGACUUCAUAAAUAUCUGCUUCAAUUACCUUUGGUAAAUGAAAUAACCAAUCAUUCAUUUUCUGAUAUAGCUGUAAAAUCAAUCUGAAAAGUUUUCAAAAUAAAUCG